CGAAUACCUCAUAUCUUCCCACAUAGUCUCUUUCCAUAACCCUCCAACUAACCUUCAUGCUAACUUGUGAGUGGUGUGAUGUGGGAGUGUGUUUAGUAGUGAAUGCUGAUACCAGCAUGGUCAGAAGAGAGCAGAGAGAUGUCAUCGAUUCUUGUUCAUCCCUUCUCUCUGCAACUCUUUUCAUGAGCCAAUGUGAGCGAGUGUAUGUUUAUCACAGUCCCUGUGUCAGGGAUGCAAACUCGUCAAUUUGAGCUCAAAAUAGGUAAUCCACGUGAAUCGUGUAGAUCCAUAAAAAUAACUUUUGUGGUGGCUGAACUACAAAAGAGAGGCGCGAACUGAUCUUCUCCCUGUGUGAUCACCACCAGAGAUACUGGAUAUAGUGAUGGGAUGCUUGUUGUCUCCGCCCUUAACAAUGAGAUUCGUUGUCCACAGAGCGUAACGGCGGGCUGUCAAGCUCCCGCCUGUUCCGCUCUUUUUAGGGAGGGAUAAUUCACGGGCUGCUGCGUUGUCACAAUGGGAACUCUUUCUAGAGCACCCGGUUAAAUUGUGCAUAACAGUAGGGUGUUAGGUGACGUGACAAACAAUGAACGCUAUACGAUAAUAAAAAAUAAAAAACACAGGCUAAUCAAUAAUGUGAUCAUCAAAAUACAUAGUAAAUCAUUUCAAAACACAAACAUAUUUUCAGUCUAAAUGGUUAAUGUAGUGAGAAAUAUGUGAUUAUCGUAAAAGUUUGUGAGUGCAUCAGUUACGAUCAUCCUGAAUUAAAAUAUGGAAUAAUUUUUGCCAUAUUAAAUUAUUUUAUAUAUGCUAUUUUCCUUGAUGUGUGUUACUACAUUACACAAGCUCAUGUUUUGAACACAUCAAAUUUGGGGAAUUACUCAUCCCUUUUACAUCAGACUGGUGGUGAUUUAAAACAACUCAAUCUAUUUGUGGGCGGCAGGGUAGCCUAGUGGAGCGUUGGACUAGUAACCGAAAGGCUGCAAGUUCAAAUCCCCGAGCUGACAUUCUGCCCCUGAACAGCCAGGCCGUCAUUGAAAAUAAGAAUUUGUUUUUAAACUGACUUGCCUAGUUAAAUAAAGGUUUAUAAAAAAUACAAUUUAAAAAUGUUGUGUGUGCUUGUAUGAUUGUGUGUGAGAGGAGCCAAUGUGAGCGAGUGUAUGGUACACUGUAUGCUACUGACCUUAUAUUGACCUUAAUCCCCAAAAACCCAAAUAACUGCCAGGUGUGUGUUUGAAGAGGGUGGUGGGGUGUCUGUGUUUACUUUUGUAUCUAUGCCACUGGCUUUCAUGUCUGUAUUUUAUUUUGUGGUGCGCAAUGUGCCCCACUAAACUAAUGCACUGCCAGGGAUAGCUGUCACUUUGGUGUGUGGGAAGAAGGAGAUGACACACUGCAGCAGUGCUAGUAUGGAGGUAGAUAGUAUGGAGUGUAGGGGAAGUCAGGAUUUUGCUAGUGCGUUUUGAUCUGUCUAUUGAAAGGCCAUGUAAGGUUAGUGUUGACUAAUGGCAUAAUGCUGGUGAGCCGGGCACAAUCAGGUGAUUGUCCCAUGGUCCUGAGUUUACAUAUCAGCAAAGGUACUGUAUCAUGUUGUUUUUGAGAAACUUGGUGGAUCACAGGUUGACAGGCUACCAGGUCCAACGCUCUGUAAGUGGGCUUACGUGGUUUUGUAGGCACAUGUUUCAUUGCAACGUGGUGAAGAUCUGGUUGGAGAGCUGCACUACUCUCUGCUUCCCAUGUUGAAGGAGUACGUUAUGGUUUCCCAGGUGCGUAUCUUCACAUUUUAAGUGAAUUCUAAAUUCUUAUUGGAUAAGAAAAAUGAUAUACUAUGCCUACUCUCUGGGUCUCAUCAGUUGGAUGGACAUAUAAGCAGAGUAUUUGCCCUUAACUGCAAACCAUCUCUCUGUGUGGUCAUAAAAUAGUACAAUUUUCCUUUAACAUGCCAUAAUGAAUUCACAGGGCAGCCAAACCAUUGUCCACAAGCAGCUUGAAGUGAUCACCACUUUCAUGGCAUGCUUUCUCAAGGCUGAGCAUCACCACACCCAAGAAGCUCAUGGAGAUGGACUUCAUUGACAAGAUGCUGCCUUCCAGAGAAUUGUAUGAUGGAUCAGUGUCUGAGAAACCUAAGGCAGAACAUCCAGGACACCCUAUUGUGCAAAAGUUUCUUAGCGUGGUGAAGACUGCAUACAUGACAACUGCAGCCUACAUGCAGAAGAAAAUGCCACUGGACAGCAUGACUCUGCAAUUGCUCUCUGCACACGACCCAGUGGUGAGAGGCCAUUCACAGACUGGCAUCCUGUUGAAGCGGCUUGCUAGGAUGAUGGACCACUCAGUUCCACCCGAAUUUCAGCUUCCACUGGAAGUCGUGAAGUUUAAUGUGGAUUCUACCCUUCCCCCUUACAAGGAUGAGGACAACAUGGUCAAGUGGUGGGGCCUGAACCAGAUUUUACUAGUGUCUCCCUCAAUCUUCCAUGGUCCUAUUGUGAAGUCUUCGUUUAUUGUGAUGGGAGACAUCACAGCUCAAAAGAGCAUGAACAUGGCUACCUUCAAUGCAAUUCAGACCACCAAUUAUAUCCACAGGUCCAGGAGUCUGAUUGCCUUACAGAUGUUCCAGAGACAUGAUGUCAAGUGGAGCAAGGGAUUCUAAGAACAUCCGCACUGCAGGAAGGAAGGAUAAAGCUCAGAGACAGGAGAACCUGAUGAAGAGGGAGGGGUAUGGUUGCCAGCCAACAUCCAGUGCCCAGCAGACCAGGAAGACUGCAGUGGAGUAGGAGAAGCAGGCCAGACUGAGGACACAGCUAAACAAAGAAAAAUAUCAAAAUCAUUUUUAGUCGAAGCUAAAAAAGAAGGAAGCUAAAAUGUGGUCUGUAGGUGGGUGUAGGCUAGAUGUGAGUGAUAACCUGUUACUGUUUAUUUUGAGCUUCAAAAUAAAAUAAUUGUC